GACGAACGCUGGCGGCGUGCUUAACACAUGCAAGUCGAACGAAGUGGCGAACGGGUGAGUAACGCGUAAUCAACCUGCCCUUCAGAGGGGGAUAACAGUUGGAAACGACUGCUAAUACCGCAUACUGAAGGAGGGGAUUGCUUCUGAUUAGCUAGUUGGGGGGGUAAAGGCCCACCAAGGCGAGGAUCAGUAGCCGGUCUGAGAGGAUGAAAGACAACAUUUGGCAUGAGACACGGCCCAGACUCCUACGGGAGGCAGCAGUGGGGAAUCUUCCGAAAUGGACGAAAGUCUGACGGAGCAACGCCGCGUGAGUGAUGACGGUCUUCAGGUUGUAAAGCUAUGUUAAUCGGGACGCGGUACCGGAAUAGAAAGCCACGGCUAACUACGUGCCAGCCGCCGCGGUAAUUC
rnacentral:rRNA from 1 species